GAAAGGNUCAUUAAAUCAGUUAUGGUUCCUUAGAUCGUACCCACAAUUACCUGGAUAACUGUGGUAAUUCUAGAGNUAAUACAUGCAAACAGAGCUCCGACCGGAGACGGAAGGAGUGCUUUUAUUAGAUCAAAACCAAUCGGUGGCGGGCUCGUCAUCGUACAACUUGGUGACUCUGAAUAACUUUACGCUGAUCGCACGGUCAUCGCACCGGCGACGCAUCUUUCAAAUGUCUGCCUUAUCAACUGUCGAUGGUAGGUUCUGCGCCUACCAUGGUUGUAACGGGUAACGGGGAAUCAGGGUUCGAUUCCGGAGAGGGAGCCUGAGAAACGGCUACCACAUCCAAGGAAGGCAGCAGGCGCGCAAAUUACCCACUCCCGGCACGGGGAGGUAGUGACGAAAAAUAACGAUACGGGACUCAUCCGAGGCCCCGUAAUCGGAAUGAGUACACUCUAAACCCUUUAACGAGGAUCAAUUGGAGGGCAAGUCUGGUGCCAGCAGCCGCGGUA
rnacentral:rRNA from 1 species